UACGUAGGGUGCGAGCGUUAAUCGGAAUUACUGGGCGUAAAGCGUGCGCAGGCGGUUUUGUAAACCAGAUGUGAAAGCCCCGGGCUUAACCUGGGAAUGGCAUUUGGGACUGCAAGGCUUGAGUGCGGCAGAGGAGACUGGAAUUCCUGGUGUAGCAGUGAAAUGCGUAGAUAUCGGGAGGAACACCAGUGGCGAAGGCGACUACCUGGCCUGUUCUUGACGCUGAGGCGCGAAAGCUAGGGGAGCAAACGGGGAUUAAGAUGACCCGAGUAG
rnacentral:rRNA from 1 species